UAGAUCAUUCUCGACUACAAACAUAAAUCUGUGUUCUCGAUAAGUAUUUAUGUACAAGCACAUUAGCUUUGUUCUCUUGUGUUCAGGUUGUCAAAGCAACACAAGGACGAGUUCCUGUCUUCUUGGAUGGUGGUGUUCGACGUGGCACUGAUGUCUUCAAGGCACUUGCACUUGGAGCCUCUGGAAUAUUUGUAAGCAUCACAUCAUAUAUCCAUUCACCAGAAAGUUGCUUAAAAACAGUAAAUAUUUAAAAUGCCUUCUCAAUCUCAGAUUGGAAGACCAGUGGUUUUUGCACUAGCUGCUGAAGGAGAAGCCGGAGUCAAAAAGGUGCUUCAAAUGUUGCGUGAUGAGUUCGAGCUAACCAUGGCACUAAGUGGGUGCCGGUCACUCAGUGAAAUCACCCGUAACCACAUUGUCACGGAAUGGGACACUCCACGCCAUUUGCCCAGGUUAUAGAGAAGAAAAAAAAAACAGAGAACAGAAACAACACGGCACCAAAACGUAUUCAUAUUCUGAUUGAUCACUUUGCUUCUACUCUGCUAUAUUUAUAUCUCGAAAAACUUGUUUCUCCCUAUAUCGGAUCACAAAAACGUGCGUAGAGAUUCUCUGUAAUGCUAUUUGGCUACAUUUUACCUUUCCGUUUAUUCUUAUUGCUUGUACAAUAGAUGUUGAUUCCUACAAUACCAAUGAAUACUAAAAUCUGUUCCCGGAAAACUAGUAUAGUCAGAAAAUCUUACAUUGCACCCAACUUCCACAAUCCAAACACAGUUCAAAUCUUAUAUUAACAGCAGCCAAAACCUCACAGAAACUAGCUACCAAAAGAGCACAAAAGAAUACUAUAGGAGAACUCAGAUUAAGGAAAGACAGGUUUGUGAGAUUUACAAUACCUUAUUGAAGAAGAAUGUAAGCGAAUUCAUCCUUCACUUUGUGCUGGGCUAAGUAUUGCAUCGAAAAGCCCAAAAUAAUUUGGCUCACGAAUUCGAAACUCUUGGAUUUAUGCACUUUUCUGAAAAAAAAAGAAAAACGAUUGGUUUACGAAUUACUACUAUUUUUCUACGAGAUUAAGAACGAUAAUAUGUAAGAAAAAUCUAAGACACACACCAUCCAUCAGAUUUUUGUCCGUAUCUCCUCAUCAAUUCUUCACCUCCAGCUUCUCAUCCAUAUUUCUUUCUUUCCAAUGCAAACAAGUUUUCAACUGUUAAAAGAUAAACCAAAAACUCACAAGCCAAUUAAUCUAUCAGAAAUAUUUAACUUUUAACCAAAUAAAAACGUUGAGAUAUAUAUAAUAUAAGCGUUCCUUACCACUCACACACUUCAUCUCUCCCCAGAGCUCUAUUCCCAUCAAGGUGUGUGAGAUUCUCUGCUAAGACAAACCAAAAACCAGAUUGUUUUGCGUUCAUGGACAUGUUCCUCUCUGGAGAUUAGAAUCGUAGCUAUGACUAUGUCUGAAUUUCACAAGAGGUAGCUAACUCAGGCCUUUUUGCUCUUUUGACAGAAACACACUUCGGAAGAUGGAGAUCACUAACGUUACCGAGUAUGAUGCAAUCGCAAAGCAGAAGCUGCCUAAGAUGGUGUACGACUACUAUGCAUCUGGUGCAGAAGACCAAUGGACUCUUCAAGAGAACAGAAACGCUUUUGCAAGGAUCCUGUGAGUUUUUCUUUUCUUUUCGUAAGACAAGAAAUACUGUUUGUUAUUGGUUUUUACAAUAGGUGUGAUGCAUACCUUGGGCUGUUUAAUAGCUUUCGGCCUCGGAUUCUGAUUGAUGUGAGCAAGAUUGACAUGACAACCACCGUCUUGGGGUUCAAGAUCUCGAUGCCCAUCAUGGUUGCUCCAACUGCCAUGCAAAAGAUGGCUCACCCUGAUGGUAAAUACUGAGUUAUGUAGAGACUAGAGAGUGAAAACUUGUUUUAGUAUCGCUAGAGACAAAGACUAAGGCUUGUUCUAACGACUCUGUUUGAAACUAAU
rnacentral:lncRNA from 1 species